CCUACGGGAGGCAGCAGUGGGGAAUAUUGCACAAUGGGGGAAACCCUGAUGCAGCGACGCCGCGUGAGUGAAGAAGUAAUUCGUUAUGUAAAGCUCUAUCAGCAGGGAAGAAAAUGACGGUACCUGAGUAAGAAGCCCCGUCUAACUACGUGCCAGCAGCCGCGGUAAUACGUAGGGGGCAAGCGUUAUCCGGAUUUACUGGGUGUAAAGGGAGCGUAGACGGCAGUGCAAGUCUGGAGUGAAAGGCGGGGGCUCAACCCCCGGACUGCUCUGGAAACUGUACGGCUGGAGUGCAGGAGAGGUAGGUGGAAUUCCUAGUGUAGCGGUGAAAUGCGUAGAUAUUAGGAGGAACACCAGUGGCGAAGGCGGCUUACUAGACUGUAACUGACGUUGAGGCUCGAAAGCGUGGGGAGCAAACAGGAUUAGAUACCCCUGUAGUC
rnacentral:rRNA from 1 species